GGUUUUAGAACCAUUGGAUCAAUUCUUGAUGGGAGGCAUACAUAAUCAGUGGUAUUGAUGCAAAGUCAAAACGAGCUUAGCAUAAGUGCGCUACGCUCGAUCGGGUAAGCAUAACUAUUGGGUAUGAAGUCAUAUGGACCUAAGGUUUGGUGUGAGUGUUUUAUACAUAAGGAUAAUAGGCCUAGUAGAUGAUUAAGUCGAAAUUAUUGAAGUGAUAAGGUUUUCAUAAGUCAAAAGGUGAAAUGAUGAGAUGAAAUGUGUCAAAUUUUGAUACAAUAAGGCUAAAUCAUUGAAAAUAAGGAAUUUUCAUCAACCUUAUCACUUUGCACGACCAUUACUCUGAAAAACAGAGAGAAAAGAAAACCAAAAACCAUUUAUUGGCUGGUUUGAAUAAAUUCUAAGGAGAUCCAAGUGAAAGCAAAGCCAAAGAAGUAGAUUAAGCUUAGUUCUAGCCUUUUUAUGAUAUUUCUUGAGGUUUUCAAGUGGUUUGAGGUUUAGAAAAGCUUGAAGAGAUUGUUUUCGCCGAAAAGUUGCUCGGAUAAGCACAUCAAUACCUAAGACACCACUUGUUACACGGUGAACUGUAUUUUGGACAAAAGGUGGCUGGUGGGUGAUGGCCAAAUGGUGAGCUUGGUGGAGAUAGGCGCAGGAACUAAAGCUGGCAGGUGGCAUUUGUGUCUAGGGUCUUCAAGUGGCAUUUGAUUAAAGCAAAUAAAUGGUUGAAGCUGGCUGAACGUGGUGGCUGGAAUGGGUGCAUGGCAUUGGGCCUGGGCCAUGCUGUUGGGCUGGCUGGAUUUUGCUACUUCAGAAAUGCCACAUUCUUUUGUUAUUUUUCACAAAAAUGCCACUUUUUUCAUCAUUUUUCUUGAUUUUCAAGAGCAUAAAUUUCCUACAAAAUAAAUAUAAAAUAAAUUAUAAUAUAAUAUUUUCAACUAUAAAAUAAAUCAAU